rnacentral:rRNA from 1 species
UGGGCGUAAGGGCUCGCAGGCGGUUUCUUAAGUCUGAUGUGAAAGCCCCCGGCUCAACCGGGGAGGGUCAUUGGAAACUGGGAAACUUGAGUGCCCAAGAGGAGAGUGGAAUUCCACGUGUAGCGGUGAAAUGCGUAGAGAUGUGGAGGAACACCAGUGGCGAAGGCGACUCUCUGGUCUGUAACUGACGCUGAGGAGCGAAAGCGUGGGGAGCGAACAGGAUUAGAUACCCUGGUAGUCCACGCCGUAAACGAUGAGUGCUAAGUGUUAGGGGGUUUCCGCCCCUUAGUGCUGCAGCUAACGCAUUAAGCACUCCGCCUGGGGAGUACGGUCGCAAGACUGAAACUCAGAGGAAUUGACGGGGGCCCG